AUUGAACGCUGGCGGCAUGCUUUACACAUGCAAGUCGAACGGUAACAGGCCUUCGGGUGCUGCCGAGUGGCGAACGGGUGAGUAAUGCAUCGGAACGUGCCCAGAGGUGGAGGAUAACGCAGCGAAAGCUGUGCUAAUACCGCAUGUGAUCUGAGGAUGAAAGCGGGGGACCAAGCAGCAAUGUUUGGCCUCGCGCCUCUGGAGCGGCCGAUGUCAGAUUAGGUAGUUGGUGGGGUAAAGGCCUACCAAGCCGACGAUCUGUAGCUGGUCUGAGAGGACGACCAGCCACACUGGGACUGAGACACGGCCCAGACUCCUACGGGAGGCAGCAGUGGGGAAUUUUGGACAAUGGGCGCAAGCCUGAUCCAGCAAUGCCGCGUGCGGGAAGAAGGCCUUCGGGUUGUAAACCGCUUUUGUACGGAACGAAAAGGCUCUGGCUAAUACCUGGGGCUGAUGACGGUACCGUAAGAAUAAGCACCGGCUAACUACGUG
rnacentral:rRNA from 1 species